rnacentral:RNase_P_RNA from 2 species
UGAGUCGGCAGGGCGGCCGCGGCGGGUGACCGUCGAGGAAAGUCCGGACUCCACAGGGCAGGGUGGUUGUUAACGGCAACCAGGGGCGACCCUCGGGACAGUGCCACAGAAAACAGACCGCCCCGGCCCUACCAGGCCGGGGUAAGGGUGAAACGGUGGUGUAAGAGACCACCAGCGCCCCAGGUGACUGGGGCGGCUAGGUAAACCCCACCCGGAGCAAGGCCAGGAGGGCGCGCAAGCGUCUGCGCGAGCGUUCGAGGGCGGCCCGCCCGAUGCUCGCGGGUAGGCCGCUAGAGCCUGUCGGCAACGGCAGGCCCAGAUGGAUGGCCGCCGAUCGGGGCGUGAGCUCCGUGAACAGGAUCCGGCUUACAUGCCGGCUCAUCCG